GGAUUGGAAAUGGGGGAACCCUGAUCCAGCGACGCCGCGUGUGUGAAGAAGGCCUGCGGGUUGUAAAGCACUUUUAGUGGGGAUGAAAAGCUCAGGGCUAAUACCUCUGGGUCUUGACCUAACCCACAGAAAAAGCACCGGCUAACUCUGUGCCAGCAGCCGCGGUAAUACAGAGGGUGCAAGCGUUAAUCGGAAUUACUGGGCGUAAAGCGUGCGUAGACGGUUAUGUAAGUCGGGUGUGAAAGCCCCGGGCUCAACCUGGGAAUGCCAUUCGAGACUGCAUAGCUAGGGUACGGAAGAGGGAAGCGGAAUUUCAGGUGUAGCGGUGAAAUGCGUAGAUAUCUGAAGGAACACCAGUGGCGAAAGCGGCUUCCUGGUCCAGUACCGACGUUCAGGCACGAAAGCGUGGGGAGCAAACAGGAUUAGAUACCCUGGUAGUCCACGCCAUAAACGAUGAGAACUAGACGUUGAGAGGGUAAGCCUCCCAGUGUCGUAGCUAACGCGCUAAGUUCUCCGCCUGGGGAGUACGGCCGCAAGGUUGAAACUCAAAAGAAUUGACGGA
rnacentral:rRNA from 1 species